rnacentral:rRNA from 1 species
GCAGUAGCAAUACUGAGUGGCAGACGGGUGAGUAACAUGUGGGAAUCUGCCUUGUGGUUCAGGACAACAUUGGGAAACCGAUGCUAAUACUGGAUAAGCCCUUACGGGGAAAGUUUUAAUGCCAUAAGAUGAGCCCGCAUUUGAUUAGUUAGUUGGUGAGGUAAUGGCUCACCAAGACAAUGAUCAAUAGCUGAUCUGAGAGGAUGAUCAGCCACACUGGGACUGAGACACGGCCCAGACUCCUACGGGAGGCAGCAGUGGGGAAUCUUGCACAAUGGAGGAAACUCUGAUGCAGCGAUGCCGCGUGAGUGAAGAAGGCCUUUGGGUUGUAAAGCUCUUUUGUAGGGGAAGAUAAUGACUGUACCCUAAGAAUAAGGUCCGGCUAACUUCGUGCCAGCAGCCGCGGUAAUACGAAGGGACCUAGCGUAGUUCGGAAUUACUGGGCGUAAAGCGCGCGUAGGCCGUUGAGUUAGUUAAUUGUGAAAUCCCAAAGCUUAACUUUGGAACUGCAAUUAAAACUGCUCGACUAGAGUUUGAUAGAGGAAAGCGGAAUACAUAGUGUAGAGGUGAAAUUCGUAGAUAUUAUGUAGAACACCAGUUGCGAAGGCGGCUUUCUGGAUCAACACUGACG